rnacentral:rRNA from 1 species
CCUACGGGAGGCAGCAGUGGGGAAUAUUGGACAAUGGGGGCAACCCUGAUCCAGCCAUGCCGCGUGUGUGAAGAAGGCCCUCGGGUUGUAAAGCACUUUCAGUGAGGAAGAACGCCUGGUGGUUAAUACCCAUCAGGAAAGACAUCACUCACAGAAGAAGCACCGGCUAACUCCGUGCCAGCAGUCGCGGUAAUACGGAGGGUGCGAGCGUUAAUCGGAAUUACUGGGCGUAAAGCGCGCGUAGGUGGCUUGAUAAGCCGGUUGUGAAAGCCCCGGGCUCAACCUGGGAACGGCAUCCGGAACUGUCAAGCUAGAGUGCAGGAGAGGAAGGUAGAAUUCCCGGUGUAGCGGUGAAAUGCGUAGAGAUCGGGAGGAAUACCAGUGGCGAAGGCGGCCUUCUGGACUGACACUGACACUGAGGUGCGAAAGCGUGGGUAGCAAACAGGAUUAGAUACCCCUGUAGUC